rnacentral:misc_RNA from 1 species
CUGAAUGCGUGGCCUUCGGGCCCGUCUUCUUCACCCUGUGUUUACCACCCCUGGUGUCUCGCCGUGGCCGCCGUCCCUCCGGGGGCGGUUGGUGGCGCGCGGGCGCCGCAACCUCUGGAGCAGAUGCGUCUUUGACAAAUCGAAUCCAACACA